rnacentral:tRNA from 1 species
GGAGAGUUGGCAGAGCCUGGCUUAAUGCACCUGACUUGAAAUCAGACGUAGGGUAACCUACCGGGGGUUCGAAUCCCUCACUCUCCG